GGAGAGGUACCGAAGCGGUCAUAACGGCGACGACUUGAAAUCGUCUGAGAGGUAAAACUCACGUGGGUUCGAAUCCCACUCUCUCCGCCA
rnacentral:tRNA from 1 species